CUCUCCAACCCAUUGUGAACUUACCAAACGUUCCCUCGGCGGGCUCAGCGCGCGGCGGCCUCCGGGCCUCCGGGCGUCCGCCGGGGAAAACCAAACCCUGAUUUAAUCGUAUUUUCUGAGGGGCGAAAGCCCGAAAACAAAAUGAAUCAAAACUUUCAACAACGGAUCUCUUGGCUCUGGCAUCGAUGAAGAACGCAGCGAAAUGCGAUAAGUAAUGUGAAUUGCAGAAUUCAGUGAAUCAUCGAAUCUUUGAACGCACAUUGCGCCCGCCGGCACUCCGGCGGGCAUGCCUGUCCGAGCGUCAUUUCAACCCUCAGGCCCACCCUUCCGGGGGAGCGGGCCUGGUGCUGGGGAUCGGCGGCCCUCGCGGCCCCCGUCCCUCAAAUUCAGUGGCGGUCGCGCCGCAGCCUCCCCUGCGUAGUAGCACAACCUCGCACCGGAGAGCGGAACGACCACGCCGUGAAACCCCCAAU
rnacentral:rRNA from 1 species